rnacentral:snoRNA from 1 species
GCGAUGAUGACACCCCCUGUUGUAUUAGCCACAAGCUGAGGAGAUGAUGUUUCCGCAUCUUUGGACUGAGC